rnacentral:rRNA from 1 species
UACGUAGGGGGCUAGCGUUGUCCGGAAUCAUUGGGCGUAAAGCGCGUGUAGGCGGCCCGGUAAGUCCGCUGUGAAAGUCGGGGGCUCAACCCUCGGAUGCCGGUGGAUACUGUCGGGCUAGAGUACGGAAGAGGCGAGUGGAAUUCCUGGUGUAGCGGUGAAAUGCGCAGAUAUCAGGAGGAACACCAAUUGCGAAGGCAGCUCGCUGGGACGUCACUGACGCUGAGACGCGAAAGCGCGGGGAGCGAACGGG